AUUGCGAUCGGGAUAAAAUAAAAAAUAUUACCAAACAACUUUGAUAUUAAUUUUUUCUGGUCCAACGAUUGGAGAAGGUGUUCCUCAAGUCACUCACAGCCACAUGAAGUCAUUUGGCCUCUAUAAGAAAAUCCACAUGAAGAUUGGUUCAGAUCAGGGAUUUGGAGGUGCUAGCCUGCAAGUAACUUUGACGGCUGAUCUUUUUCUUUUUCUUCAAGCACCUUGGACACUCCAAAAGAUGAAGGGUUCUGGAGGAGGAAGAGAGAGGGGGAGAAGAGCUCUAAAAAAUUAAAAACCAAUAAGGGAAGGGAUGUAUGAUGCCAAGAAGAGGUGACCCCUUUUUAUAGGCAAAGAUUAGGAUUUUUCAUCCAAGGGAAGAGGGC
rnacentral:lncRNA from 1 species